GGGCGCAAGCCUGAUGCAGCCAUGCCGCGUGUAUGAAGAAGGCCUUCGGGUUGUAAAGUACUUUCAGCAGUGAGGAAGGUGGGUAUGUUAAUAGCAUACUCAUUUGACGUUAGCUGCAGAAGAAGCACCGGCUAACUCCGUGCCAGCAGCCGCGGUAAUACGGAGGGUGCGAGCGUUAAUCGGAAUUACUGGGCGUAAAGCGCAUGCAGGUGGUUUGUUAAGUCAGAUGUGAAAGCCCGGGGCUCAACCUCGGAAUUGCAUUUGAAACUGGACAAACUAGAGUACUGUAGGAGGGGGUAGUAAUUUCAGGUGUAGCGGUAGAAAUGCGUAGAGAUCUGAAGGAAUACCGGUGGCGAAGGCCGGCCCCCUGGACAGAUACUGACACUCAGAUGCGAAAGCGUGGGGAGCAAACAGGAUUAGAUACCCUGGUAG
rnacentral:rRNA from 1 species